GACGAACGCUGGCGGCGUGCCUAAUACAUGCAAGUAGGACGCAGUUGCGAACGGGUGAGUAACGCGUAGGUAACUACCUAUUAGAGGGGGAUAACUAUUUGAAACGAUAGCUAAUACCGCAUACUAGUAGAUGGACCUGCGUUGUAUUAGCUAGUAGGUAGGGUAAUGGCCUACCUAGGCAACGAUACAUAGCCGACCUGGGGGGGUGGACGGCCAAACUGGGACUGGGAAAAGGGCCAGGAGCCCUCGGGAGGCAGCAGGAGGGAAUCUUCGGGAAUGGGGGGAACCCUGACCAAGCAACGCCGCGUGAGUGAAGAAGGUUUUCGGAUCGUAAAGCUCUGUUGUUAAGGAAGCGGUACUUAACCAGAAAGGGACGGCUAACUACGUGCCAGCAGCCGCGGUAAUAC
rnacentral:rRNA from 1 species